GAUGAACGCUGGCGGCGUGCCUAAUACAUGCAAGUCGAGCGAACAGACGAGGAGCUUGCUCCUCUGACGUUAGCGGCGGACGGGUGAGUAACACGUGGAUAACCUACCUAUAAGACUGGGAUAACUUCGGGAAACCGGAGCUAAUACCGGAUAAUAUAUUGAACCGCAUGGUUCAAUAGUGAAAGACGGUUUUGCUGUCACUUAUAGAUGGAUCCGCGCCGCAUUAGCUAGUUGGUAAGGUAACGGCUUACCAAGGCAACGAUGCGUAGCCGACCUGAGAGGGUGAUCGGCCACACUGGAACUGAGACACGGUCCAGACUCCUACGGGAGGCAGCAGUAGGGAAUCUUCCGCAAAGGGCGAAAGCUUGACGGAGCAACGCGGCGUGAGUGAUGAAGGUCUUCGGAUCGUAAAACUCUGUUAUUAGGGAAGAACAAAUGUGUAAGUAACUAUGCACGUCUUGACGGUACCUAAUCAGAAAGCCACGGCUAACUACGUG
rnacentral:rRNA from 1 species